AAAGAUUAAGCCAUGCAUGUCUAAGUAUAAGCAAUUAUACCGUGAAACUGCGAAUGGCUCAUUAAAUCAGUUAUCGUUUAUUUGAUAAUACCUUACUACUUGGAUAACCGUGGUAAUUCUAGAGCUAAUACAUGCUGAAAAUCCCGACUUCGGAAGGGAUGUGUUUAUUAGAUAAAAAACCAAUGCCCUUCGGGGCUUUUUGGUGAUUCAUGAUAACUUUACGGAUCGCAUAGCCUUGCGCUGGCGACGGUUCAUUCAAAUUUCUGCCCUAUCAACUUUCGAUGGUAAGGUAUUGGCUUACCAUGGUUUCAACGGGUAACGGGGAAUUAGGGUUCGAUUCCGGAGAGGGAGCCUGAGAAACGGCUACCACAUCCAAGGAAGGCAGCAGGCGCGCAAAUUACCCAAUCCCGACACGGGGAGGUAGUGACAAUAAAUACUGAUACAGGGCUCUUUUGGGUCUUGUAAUUGGAAUGAGUACAAUUUAAACCUCUUAACGAGGAACAAUUGGAGGGCAAGUCUGGUGCCAGCAGCCGCGGUAAUUCCAGCUCCAAUAGCGUAUAUUAAAGUUGUUGCAGUUAAAAAGCUCGUAGUUGAAACUUGGGCCUGGCUGGCGGGUCCGCCUCACCGCGUGCACUCGUCCGGCCGGGCCUUCCUUCUGAAGAACCUCAUGCCCUUCACUGGGCGUGCUGGGGAAUCAGGACUUUUACUUUGAAAAAAUUAGAGUGUUCAAAGCAGGCCUUUGCUCGAAUACGUUAGCAUGGAAUAAUAAAAUAGGGCGUGCGUUUCUAUUUUGUUGGUUUCUAGAGACGCCGCAAUGAUUAACAGGAACAGUCGGGGGCAUCAGUAUUCAGUUGUCAGAGGUGAAAUUCUUGGAUUUACUGAAGACUAACUACUGCGAAAGCAUUUGCCAAGGAUGUUUUCAUUAAUCAGUGAACGAAAGUUAGGGGAUCGAAGACGAUCAGAUACCGUCGUAGUCUUAACCGUAAACUAUGCCGACUAGGGAUCGGGCGAUGUUCUUUUUCUGACUCGCUCGGCACCUUACGAGAAAUCAAAGUUUUUGGGUUCUGGGGGGAUUAUGGUCGCAAGGCUGAAACUUAAAGAAAUUGACGGAAGGUCACCACCAGGCGUGGAGCCUGCGGCUUAAUUUGACUCAACACGGGGAAACUCACCAGGUCCAGAUGAAAUAAGGAUUGACAGAUUGAGAGCUCUUUCUUGAUUUUUCAGGUGGUGGUGCAUGGCCGUUCUUAGUUCGUGGGGUGACUUGUCUGCUUAAUUGCGAUAACGAGCGAGACCUUACUCUGCUAAAUAGCCAGGCUAACUUUGGUUGGUCGCCGGCUUCUUAGAGAGACUAUCAACUCAAGUUGAUGGAAGUUUGAGGCAAUAACAGGUCUGUGAUGCCCUUAGAUGUUCUGGGCCGCACGCGCGCUACACUGACAGAGCCAACGAGUUCUUUUCCUUGUUCGAAAGAAUUGGGUAAUCUUGUUAAACUCUGUCGUGCUGGGGAUAAAGCAUUGCAAUUAUUGCUUUUCAACGAGGAAUGCCUAGUAAGCGCGUGUCAUCAGCAUGCGUUGAUUACGUCCCUGACCUUUGUACACACCGCCCGUCGCUACUACCGAUUGAAUGGCUCAGUGAGGCCUUCGGACUGGCUCGAGGAGGUUGGCAACGACCACCUCAAGCCGGAAAGUUCGUCAAACUCGGUCAUUUAGAGGAAGUAAAAGUCGUAACAAGGUCUCCGUAGGUGAACCUGCGGAGGGAUCAUUACACAAAUAUGAAGGCGGGCUGGAACCUCUCGGGGUUACAGCCUUGCUGAAUUAUUCACCCUUGUCUUUUGCGUACUUCUUGUUUCCUUGGUGGGUUCGCCCACCACUAGGACAAACAUAAACCUUUUGUAAUUGCAAUCAGCGUCAGUAACAAAUUAAUAAUUACAACUUUCAACAACGGAUCUCUUGGUUCUGGCAUCGAUGAAGAACGCAGCGAAAUGCGAUAAGUAGUGUGAAUUGCAGAAUUCAGUGAAUCAUCGAAUCUUUGAACGCACAUUGCGCCCUUUGGUAUUCCAAAGGGCAUGCCUGUUCGAGCGUCAUUUGUACCCUCAAGCUUUGCUUGGUGUUGGGCGUCUUGUCUCUAGCUUUGCUGGAGACUCGCCUUAAAGUAAUUGGCAGCCGGCCUACUGGUUUCGGAGCGCAGCACAAGUCGCACUCUCUAUCAGCAAAGGUCUAGCAUCCAUUAAGCCUUUUUUUCAACUUUUGACCUCGGAUCAGGUAGGGAUACCCGCUGAACUUAA
rnacentral:rRNA from 1 species